UACGUAGGGUGCGAGCGUUACUCGGAAUUACUGGGCGUAAAGCGUGCGCAGGCGGCGCGUUAAGACAGGUGUGAAAGCCCCGAGCUUAACUUGGGAACUGCAUUUGUGACUGCAAGGCUAGAGUACGGUAGAGGGGGAUGGAAUUCCGCGUGUAGCAGUGAAAUGCGUAGAGAUCGAGAGGAACACCAGUGGCGAAGGCGAGUCCCUGGACAACACCUGACACUGAGGCACGAAAGCUAGGGGAGCAAACAGG
rnacentral:rRNA from 1 species